rnacentral:rRNA from 1 species
AUGAACUUCAGGAAAGGUGAAGUUGUCGAACACCCGGCACCACUUGAGAUGACGGGUGAACAAAUUCGUGAUGAAUUAAAUGCUCUCCAGCCCGAUCCCAACCGUCCAGGGUAUUUCCUGGGAUAUAAUGAACUACACGCUUGGACUCACAAGCCAUGCUUCUGGGAUCUCCCCUACUUCCACCAGCUCGAGCUUCCCCAUAACAUUGAUGUAAUGCACACUGAAAAGAAUAUCGCCGAGGCCAUUUUUAGCACACUAUUCAACAUUCCCAAGAUGACAAAGGAUAAUACUAAGGCCAGACUUGAUCUGAUGAAGCUAUGUGAUAGACCCAAACAAAACUUGCGGCAACCCAUGGGCCGGAAAAAUUGGACAAUGCCACAGGCUAGGUUUGUUCUUACAAGGGAACAAAAGAAGGAGAUACUCAUGUGGUUCAAAAAUUUGUUGUUCCCCGAUGGGUAUGCAGCGAAUCUAAUGAGGGCACUGAAUCUUGAUAAAUUGAAGCUUUGUGGGUUGAAGAGUCAUGAUUGGCACAUAUAG